rnacentral:rRNA from 1 species
GGCUCAGGAUUAACGCUGGCGGCGUGCCUAAUACAUGCAAGUCGGAUGGUAGCAAUACCAUGGCGAACGGGUGAGUAACACGUAGGUAACCUGUCAUUAAGACGAGAAUAACCAUUGGAAACGAUGGAUAAUGCUGGAUAGGAUAUUUGAGGGCAUCCUUAGAUAUUUAAAGAUUUAUCACUUAAUGAGGGGCCUGCGGCGCAUUAGCUAGUUGGAAAGGUAAAAGCUUACCAAGGCGAUGAUGCGUAGCCGGACUGAGAGGUUGAACGGCCACAAUGGAACUGAGAACGGUCCAUACUCCUACGGGAGGCAGCAGUAGGGAAUUUUCGGCAAUGGGCGGAAGCCUGACCGAGCAAACCGCCGCGUGAUCGAUGAAGUAUUUCGGUAUGUAAAGAUCUUUUAUUAGGGAAGAAAAGACAGAUUGACGGUACCUAAUGAAUAAGCUCCGGCUAACUACGUGCCAGCAGCGGC